GAACAAAGAUGGGAAAAAAUAAAAUCUUUGUUACUAUUAGCCUAUUUCUGCACUGAAAAAAAGUCAUCAUGCACAUCUAUACUUUACAAUUUAAUGGUGACUAAUUUUAGCUCGGCAUUUGAUCGUUCAAUUUGAUCAAGCUAGCUAUAUACAUAUUUUAUUCAAUAACUACUCUUAAGUGAAGUGAAGACGAAGCUAAGAAACUAAUAGAUAUGCAACAAAUGUAUAUUCUGAACAUGUAUAGGAACAUGUACAAUCAAACUACCAAGCUAAUCAACAUCUUCUGAAGAGUCAACAAACACAAGUUCAACGAAAUACAUUUACUGCAGUUCAUAAUUUAAUUAGUCACAUGUAUUCUUUUAAUAGAUUUUUCUUAGAAAUUCCAUGAUCUCAAGGGUAUAAUUACCUAUGACGGUAAAAAUUCGAUAAAAGUGAAUUUUAAUGCGCAUUUAAAUUUGGAUAAAAAUUUUCAAAUACUUAUUUAUAAUUUAUUUAACAAGAACUUGUUAAGUUUGUGCAGGUGUAACUUAUUCUAUUAUUGUGACACAAAAUCUAAAAGUAGCUGUCUAAACAUGGAUAAGAGUUGGAUUAAUAAGUCGAGGACGAGUAAUGAUUACCAGCAAGGAUUGGAUCUAUUUCUCAAAUUUGCAUUUGAAAAUGCAUCAAGAAAUGAGAUGAUUCUAUGCCCGUGUAAAAAAUGUACUAAUUGCUUCUGGAGGGAAUAUGAAGUUGUCUAUGAACAUUUGUUAUGUGAUGGAUUUAUGCAGAGCUAUACAAAAUAGAUUUUUCAUGGAGAAGGCAAUUUUGCUUCAAAACCUAUCCAUGAGGCUAAUUUUGAAGACAAAGAAAUGCAAGACGAUGAAAUUGAUGAGAUGAUACACAAUGCGUUUUAUUUUCCAACUUCUGACAUGGAGUUGGGAAAUUCAGAAUUUGAUAAUACAAUGGAGGAGCCAAAUGAAGAGACAAAAAAAUUUUUUAGAUUGGUAAAAGAUGCUAAUCAAUAGUUAUAUCCAGGCUGUAAGAUGUUUUCGAAACUCUCUUUUAUUGUGCGUCUAUUGCAGAUUAAAUGCCAAGGAGGUUGGAGUAAUAAGAGUUUUGACAUGUUGCUAGAAUUAUUGAAACAAAUGCUUCCAGAGGGAGAAACAUUACCAGAAAGUUUUUAUGAGACGAAUAAAAUUAUGAAGGACUUAGGUCUUGGGUAUGAAAAGAUUGAUGCAUGCCCAAAUGAUUGCAUUUUAUAUAGAAAGGAGUUUGCCAAUGCAUCAUCAUGCCAUGUAUGCGGUGCUUCAAGAUGGAAAGUAGUUGAAAACAAGAUGAACACUAGAAAAUCUAAAGCAAAACAUAACCAUAAUGUUCCAAUGAAGGUCUUGCGGUACUUUCCAUUAAAAUCUAGUUUACAAAGGCUAUUUAUGUCAUCAAAAACAGCAUCAGAAAUGAGGUGGCAUAAUGAAGGGCGAACAAAAGAUGGAAUAUUAAGACAUCCUGCAGAUUCUCCAGCAUGGAAAGAUUUUGAUCACAAGCACCAACAAUUUUCAUUUGAUCCACGCAAUGUAAGACUUGGUUUAGCAAGUGAUGGUUUUAAUCCAUUUCGAAUGAUGAGCAUUUCUCAUAGCACAUGGCCUGUUAUUUUAAUUCCAUACAAUCUACCGCCUUGGAUAUGUAUGAAACAAUCUAACCUCAUUCUCUCAUUACUUAUUCCCGGUUCAUCUGCUCUAGGGAAUGAUAUAGAUGUAUACAUGCAACCUUUAAUUGAUGAGUUAAAAGAAUUAUGGAUCGAAGGGGUUAAAACAUAUGAUGUGUCAUGUGGUCAAACAUUUCAAAUGCGUGCAGCAAUAUUGUGGACUAUAAGUGAUUUUUCAGGUUAUGCAUGCUUGUCUGGUUGGAGCACCAAAGGCCAUCUUGCUUGUCCUUAUUGCAACAAUGACACUUGCUCUAAAUAUUUAAAGCAUGGACGAAAAUUAUGUUAUAUGGGUCAUCGUAGAUUUCUCAAGAGAGGACAUAGAUUUCGUCAAGAUGCAAUUUCAUUCGAUGGUACAUGUGAGUUGAGAGAAGCUCCACCUCUACUUUCAGGGCAUGAUCUGUUGGAGCAAGUGAAAGAUAUUAAUAUUGUAUUUGGGAAGCACAACAAAAACACAAAGUCAAAGAAAAGUGGGCGAGCUAAUGUGAUGCAACCAUCCUAUAACUGGAAAAAAAGAAGCAUAUUUUUUGAUUUGCCAUACUGGGAUUCUCUUUUGGUGCGUCACAAUCUAGAUGUUAUGCAUAUUGUGAAAAACAUUUCUGAUAAUGUACUCUAUACAUUGAUUAAUUUUGAGGAUAAAUCGAAGGAUAAUUUUAAAGCUCGUCUUGACCUUCAAGAAAUGGGUUUAAGGCAUGAUCUUCAUCCAGUUAUAAAGGAAAGCAAAACAUAUCUACCGCCAGCAAGCUUCUCGCUAAGUAAAGAGGAAAAAGAUAUUUUCUUUAAAGUAUUGAAAGGAGUAAAGUUUCCGGAUGGUUAUGCAGCCAAUAUUUCAAGCCGUAUACGUGUCAAAGAAAGGAAAAUUUCAGGGCUUAAGAGCCACGAUAGUUAUGUGCUAAUGCUACAUCUGCUUCCAUUGGCCAUAAGAAGAAUUUUGCCAAGAGAUGUUUGCUCACCACUAAUAGAACUAAGCAACUUCUUUAGGGAAUUGUGUUCAAAAUCAUUAAAAAUAAAAGAUAUAGAUCAACUGGAAGAUCGAAUUGCUUUGACAUUAUGCCAUCUUGAGAGCAUCUUCCAACCUGCUUUUUUUGAUAUAAUGGUGCAUUUGGCAAUUCAUCUUGCUAACGAAGCGAAACUUGCUGGACCGGUGCAAUAUCGUUGGAUGUUUCCAAUUGAGAGGUCACUAUUGAAAUUAAAAUUGAGCGUCCGGAAUAGAAACUGUCCAGAGGGUUCAAUUGCUGAAGGCUAUUUGAUUGAGGAAAGCUUGACAUUUUGUUCAUGUUACUUGCACAAUGCCGAUACCAAAUUUAAUCGUCCAAUAAGAAAUGAUGACCGCUCUACAAGUCAAGUGCAAUCUUUUUUCUCAUAUCGUGGUCGUGCAUUGGAUGAUGGUGCGAUUAUUACACUAGACUACAUAACAUGGGCACAAGCUCACCGAUAUGUGUUAUUUAAUUAUAAUCUUAUCAGUCCUUAUCUUACAAAGCAUCUUGAUGAGAUUAAAGUGCAUAAUCGUCGAGCACGAAGGCAUGAUAUAGAGCGUAUGCAUAAUGAAACUUUUCAUGAAUGAUUUAGAUCCUAUGUAAACAAGUUGGUUAGGGAAGAAAAUGAGGAGUUAUAAGAAGAAAUCAAAUGGAUGGCAGUAGGUCCUCUUAUUAAUGCUAAGAGCUUUAAAGGUUACGUCAUAAAUGGGUUUAGAUUUCACACAAAAGACGUUGAAGAGAAAAGAAAAACACAAAAUAGUGGUGUUGUAGUGGUCGCAAGUACCUCAAGUUUUUCUAGUGCAAAGGAUCAAAAUCCUGCCAAAGGUGAUGUCGCAUACUAUGGAGUUGUGAAAGAAAUCAUUGAGUUGAACUAUAGCAAGAAAGCAAAAGUAGUGUUAUUUCGAUGUGACUGGGUAGAUGUGCGUUCGGAAGGUAGAGGAAUUAAAAAGGAUGAAUACGGAUUCACACUUGUUAAUUUUAACCAGUUAUUAUAUAGAGGCAACCAUUUGUCGAAUGAACCCUUCGUAUUAGCAUCUCAAGUUGAACAAGUUUUCUACAUCAGAGAUCCUAUAGAUGAAGAUUGGCAUAUCGUAAUUGGUACGAAACCUAGGGACUAUUUUGAUAUGUCCAGGAAAGGUGAUGAUGAUAAGGUGGAGAUAUACUAUCCUACUGGCUUGGAUGAUAAUCUGAAUGCAAAUAGCACUACAAGUAAUGACUGUGAUAUUGUGAAUUGGAUCAGAAGAGAUGUACCUGGAACAACCAUUAAUUCACCUUUAGUUGUGAAUGUUGCAAGUAAUGCUGUGCAUAGUGACCACUCAUAUUCUAGUGAGGAUGAAGGAAAUGAAAAUACAUUUAUCUAAAGUAUUGGCUCAAGCACGACAAAUGAAUCUUGUUGGUGUGCAUUCUUUGUAGGAAAUUUCCCUUGAUUUCAAGGAUUCACUUUAAUCAUGCGGCAUUUAAAUACUCACUCAAGGCAUCCUACAUCUGAUCCCUCACAUCCCACAAGCACACAUAAACGCCCUAUGCAAAUGCCUUCAUCAAAUACUCCUUUGCCUAAGCAAUUCAAAC